CGGUGCUCCCCCGUGCAAGGAGGGAGCAAUGUUUUCCCUCCUGACGGCCGCCGUCUUCGGACAAGGGCCCGUUGUCCCCUAGUGAUACUAGGCGACAAAUCUUUGAAGAAGUAUCGGAGACGCCGUUGCAAAGACAAAGGCAAGAACAUCAUCAUCAUCAUCAUCAGGAUCUACAUGUAAACAAUCAGGCCGCGUGUGACACCCUCAGCCCCACGCUGGCCAGGCGCGGCGCCCCACACACCAGAACACUUCCUGCCACGGCUACACUCCCCCACACCAGCCGCAAGGCAGCCCCAGCCAGGCUCCACACCCUCAGGUCAGCCUGUGACACCCUCAGGGGAAUGCUCACGUUUUUGGGAUUGCUUCAAAGCUUGACGAGACACCUCUCCCAGGCUCCCUCCUUCACGCUGGACCACCCCUGGAGGAGGACUCCCUGGAGCCUGCCAAGGAGUACAGGGAUGCUGACAUCAAUGAGCAGCUUACAGUCCUUCUCCUUCCCUCGGCACCACGGCAAACAUGGUCACCCAGAGUUGUGCAUACAUCAGCACUGAGGCCUUCACAAGUCCCUUCAGGCUUUCCUAGACACACUCUACAACACAUCAGUCACCUCUGAUCACUGGUAACUCAACAAAUUAAAGACACGUCUGCUCAUGUGUUGCUUCUCCGGGUGUGUGAGUUAGUGUGGUAUCCAUGUUUUGUCUUGUUUGCCCGAUGUGAUUGUUGGUGUUUGUGCAUCAAGCUGUCAUUUAGCAUCAUUAAAGAAUCACUGUGACCUUUCCAGAGGUGUAUUGUAGAACAUACUUUGUACCUCACUCAAAAAGAUAGUCAUUGAAAUUGGAUAUGGACUGUUAAAUAUUGAUGUUAAAUGAGGCUUACAUGUGUUUUCCUGUGUGUCUGAGUCACUGUGUGUUGGAAAAGGCUAUACACGAUUAUG